GAUGAAGUGGCUGAUAAAGGCGAUAAAUUGUAAAUUUAUUUAUGAAUUUUUAAAAUUCCU
rnacentral:tRNA from 1 species